GUGCACUGUAUGCGUUUGUAUGGUUUUGUAGCUUUAAGUACUUCUGUGGCCGUAUCACGGCGGCGGAGCAAUACUUGAAUGGGUUCCAUACGAAUGACUGAGUGAGUUUAGUUUUACGCCGCUUUUAGCAAUAUUCCAGCAACAUCA